rnacentral:rRNA from 1 species
GCAGCGUGUCGGAUCACUGGGCGUAAGGGUGCGUAGGCGGUUCUACCAGUCUGGGGUGAAAGGCCAGGGCUCAACCUUGGGAAUGCCUUGGAAACUGUAGGACUUGAGUGCUGGAGAGGCAAGGGGAAUUCCACGUGUAGCGGUGAAAUGCGUAGAGAUGUGGAGGAAUACCAGUGGCGAAGGCGCCUUGCUGGACAGUGACUGACGCUGAGGCACGAAAGCGUGGGGAGCAAACAGGAUUAGAUACCCUGGUAGUCCACGCCGUAAACGAUGAGUGCUAGGUGUUGGGGGGUACCACCCUCAGUGCCGAAGGAAACCCAAUAAGCACUCCGCCUGGGGAGUACGGUCGCAAGACUGAAACUCAAAGGAAUUGACGGGGGCCCGCACAAGCAGUGGAGCAUGUGGUUUAAUUCGAAGCAACGCGAAGAACCUUACCAGGGCUUGACAUCCCUCUGACGGUAUCAGAGAUGAUACGUCCCUUCGGGGCAGAGGAGACAGGUGGUGCAUGGUUGUCGUCAGCUCGUGUCGUGAGAUGUUGGGUUAAGUCCCGCAACGAGCGCAACCCUUGACCUGUGUUACCAGCACGUAGAGGUGGGGACUCACAGGUGACUGCCGGCGCAAGUCGGAGGAAGGCGGGGAUGACGUCAAAUCAUCAUGCCCCUGAUGUCCUGGGCGACACACGUGCUACAAUGGGCGGCACAACGGGAAGCGAGAGAGCGAUCUGGAGCGAACCCCUGAAAACCGCUCGUAGUUCGGAUUGCAGGCUGCAACUCGCCUGCAUGAAGCCGGAAUUGCUAGUAAUCGCGGAUCAGCAUGCCGCGGUGAAUCCGUUCCCGGGCCUUGUACACACCGCCCGUCACACCACGAGAGUUGGCAACACCCGAAGUCGGUGGGGUAACCCGAGAGGGGGCCAGCCGCCGAAGGUGGGGUCGAUGAUUGGGGUGAAGUCGUAACAAGGUAGCCGUAUCGA